rnacentral:rRNA from 1 species
AGAGUUUGAUCCUGGCUCAGAACGAACGCUGGCGGCAGGCCUAACACAUGCAAGUCGAACGCCGUAGCAAUACGGAGUGGCAGACGGGUGAGUAACGCGUGGGAACCUUCCCUAUGGUUCGGAAUAGCUCAGGGAAACCUGGGGUAAUACCGGAUAAGCCCUUCGGGGGAAAGAUUUAUCGCCGAAAGAUCGGCCCGCGUCUGAUUAGCUAGUUGGUGAGGUAACGGCUCACCAAGGCGACGAUCAGUAGCUGGUCUGAGAGGAUGAUCAGCCACAUUGGGACUGAGACACGGCCCAAACUCCUACGGGAGGCAGCAGUGGGGAAUAUUGGACAAUGGGCGCAAGCCUGAUCCAGCCAUGCCGCGUGAGUGAUGAAGGCCCUAGGGUUGUAAAGCUCUUUUGUGCGGGAAGAUAAUGACG